AUUGAACGCUGGCGGAAUGCCUUACACAUGCAAGUCGAACGGUAACAGGUCUUCGGAUGCUGACGAGUGGCGAACGGGUGAGUAAUAUAUCGGAACGUGCCCAGUCGUGGGGGGUAACGUAGCGAAAGUUACGCUAAUACCGCAUACGAUCUAUAGAUGAAAGCGGGGGACCGUAAGGCCUCGCGCGAUUGGAGCGGCCGAUGUCAGAUUAGGUAGUUGGUGGGGUAAAGGCUCAACAAGCCAACGAUCUGUAGCUGGUCUGAGAGGACGACCAGCCACACUGGGACUGAGACACGGCGCAGCCGCCUACGGGAGGAAGCAGUGGGGAAGUUUGGAAAAUGGGGGCAACCCUGAUCCAGCAAUGCCGCGUGCAGGAAGAAGGCCUUCGGGUUGUAAACUGCUUUUGUACGGAACGAAACGGUCUGGAUUAAUAACCUGGGCUAAUGACGGUACCGUAAGAAUAAGCACCGGCGAACUACGUGCCAGCAGCCGCCGCAGUAA
rnacentral:rRNA from 1 species